rnacentral:snRNA from 1 species
GUGUUUCAGCAGCACAUAUACUAAAAUUUUGAAAACUACAGAGAUUAGCAUGUGCAAGGAUGACAAAUUUGUGAAAUGUUUCAUAUUUUA